UGCAGGGUUAGGACGGAGCGGCGCGGGCCGGCCCCGCUCGUCCCGGGAUGCCGGGAUGGAGAGCGCCCGGGGGAUAUCGUCGCAGCCCCUCCGGCACACACGGCUCCCGCGGCGUGCCGAAACCUCCCUGGCAGGCAGGAAGGCUUCGUGGUUUCACCCCCUCCUGCCCUAUAACUCCGGCAGGAAGGCCCUAUCUGCUAUGUUAGCCUGAUCCACCUCCACCCAGAUGUGCCCCUGCAGAGCCUAUCCACUCUUCCUCAAUCCCCACAGAGGCACAGCAGCCAGAACACAAGUGGGUGUCAAUGUCUGCACACCCAAGGGAUGCAUCCCUAGCUCAGCCCUGCAAACUAGAGGUAAAUCUACCCUGUAAAAGCCUACAUGGAUUUAAUUGUGUGUGACAUGUCUGCCUGGGCAGUUUAGAGAAAAUUAAUAGUGAGGGAUGCAUGGUGUGACAGCAGGCAGGGCAAGUGAAAGAAAAUACUGGUUUAUUCUGUGUGACUCUGUGAACUAUACUGCCAUGCUGAUGUGAAACCAUGUCACACUAUCACCAAAAGACAUUAAAUGCAGCAUGAACGUUCAAUACAAUUAAAAUAAAUUAGAGAAGUGCUGCUGCUCAAGCCAUUCACCAGUCAGUGGGAUGGGAAUGUUUAUUCAAUAACCAAAAUAAAUUGGAAUAAAUGCCACUCCACCAUUCCUUCUUUUUUUGGAAGCUUCUGGCCCUGGCCAGUAAGGAGUUGAAGCUGCCAGAGUUGGCAGAUCUCUGCUUUUACACAGCUCGUCAGCCCCAUGCCACUAUGGCCAUUAUGGGCCUUUUUUUCUGCAUCUUGCAAGAAAGCAACAAGAAAGACACACUGGGAGAUAGAGGAAAUCUGAUCUGGGAGAUAACCAGAGAAGGAAGAAAUGUCUGAAUUAUCUUUACAAUCAUCUUCAUUUGUCUCAUUGAAACUGUUUCUCUUUAGCUCAGAGAGCAAAAUCAGAGAUAAUUCACAUUUUGUCCCCUGGCAGGUCCCUGGAGACCCAUAAAGAAAAGCAGGCUUUGAAAGAGGAAGAGUUCUACUCUGUUCAAGUCCAAAAGCUGAGGCAUCCAGCUAAUACCAAACAUUACUGGUGGCUUUCAUUCCUUGGGCCUUUGUAAAGGGCACUUAACAGAGCAACUAAGUCUGGGCCAGCUGAUUUGUGACUCAAGGAUGUGAAGGAUUUUCAUGUAAAAUCUUGAGAGAGCAAGAGCUGGGACUCUUUUCAGUGGCCAGGCUGGGCAAAAGUUGGGUUUUACAAGCAGCAGGCUGAACAGGGUCCUGCACCAGGACAGUUUUCAAAGCAAUUCAACUUGGAAUGCAGAUUUCUGACCUUCAGCCAAUAUCUCAGUGGAAAAUCUGUGCCCUAAGCAGCAGAUAGGAAAUUAAACUUCAGCUGCAAUGCUGAGGGUACCAUUUUCACCUCAGCAGUGGAGCUACAAAAACCAGAGUCUCUGGAGAAUGGGGAAAUCCUUCCUAGGCCACAAAGAGCAGUAAGGCCUGUCAGGCCAUUUGUCACUGCUGGGGUAACUGAAUUAACUCCAUCCUGGGGCAGAAUGAAGAUGUGAUGCUGGUGAACCAGGGGUAAAAGCCCUGCAUUUCCAAAGAUAAGGAUGGAUAUCUGACUGGUCAGAGAUCAGGCAGUCACUUCAACCAUGGGAUGAAAAUCACAGCUGAAGGAGAAAAGGAAGCCUAUGAAAACCCCUUCUCAACACCUGGCUCUCCAGCUAUCCCUUCUUCAAGCUGAACUUCUCCACAACAAGGCCCAGCAGCCAAGGACCCUGUAGCUGGUGAAAAGAAGUUGAAAUGUGGAGAUACAUGGUAUCAUGUACUCAAGUAAUGUUAGAAGCUUCUGGGAAGAAAAGAUCCCAUGUUCCUUUAAAGCCAGGAAACCUAUUAUGCCCUGAACUCCUGCAGUGAAAGCUCCUGAAUCUGAGAUCAAGCAGACAUCUGCACCCCAGCAUUGGAAUGGUCUCUGCAGAAGCUGGUGGAUUUGGGAAUCCAUUUUCUGGACAUCUCUGGACAAGGGAGAUGAUGGAUAGCCUCAUGGGUUUUAGGGCUUUGAGGAACAACUCUGGUAAUCAAGUAUGGCUCCUUACAGAGCUAAGUGUGCCCUGCUUCAAAUUCAUCAUCUGCAACUGAGCUCAGUUUAAAGGCUCCAGAUACAUCCAGACCUUAAAAAAAAAAACAAACCAAAAAACCAAAACACAACACAAAAAACAAGUGUUGUAAAGAGAAAUACAGUUACCAAACAAAUGAGUCACUGCAAAGAAGGACUCUCUAGCUUAAGCCUCCAAAAUGUUUUCUCAGGCUUUUUGCUCUUAGAUGAACAAGUCCUUACUACCAUAGAUUUUCCUGAGAACAAAUAAAUCCAAGUUACUUUUUCA